AGACCCGAAACCCGGUGAUCUAGCCAUGGGCAGGUUGAAGGUUGGGUAACACUAACUGGAGGACCGAACCGACUAAUGUUGAAAAAUUAGCGGAUGACCUGUGGCUGGGGGUGAAAGGCCAAUCAAACCGGGAGAUAGCUGGUUCUCCCCGAAAGCUAUUUAGGUAGCGCCUCGUGAAUUCAUCUCCGGGGGUAGAGCACUGUUUCGGCUAGGGGGCCAUCCCGGCUUACCAACCCGAUGCAAACUGCGAAUACCGGAGAAUGUUAUCACGGGAGACACACGGCGGGUGCUAACGUCCGUCGUGAAGAGGGAAACAACCCAGACCGCCAGCUAAGGUCCCAAAGUCAUGGUUAAGUGGGAAACGAUGUGGGAAGGCCCAGACAGCCAGGAUGUUGGCUUAGAAGCAGCCAUCAUUUAAAGAAAGCGUAAUAGCUCACUGGUCGAGUCGGCCUGCGCGGAAGAUGUAACGGGGCUAAACCAUGCACCGAAGCUGCGGCAGCGACACUCAGGUGUUGUUGGGUAGGGGAGCGUUCUGUAAGCCUGUGAAGGUGGCCUGUGAGGGUUGCUGGAGGUAUCAGAAGUGCGAAUGCUGACAU
rnacentral:rRNA from 1 species